AGGGAAUAGAUACCCUGGUAGUCCACGCCGUAAACGAUGGAUACUUGUUGUUGGAGGUAUUGACCCCUUCAGUGACGAAAGCUAAACGCGUUAAGUAUUCCGCCUGGGGAGUACGGCCGCAAGGUUAAAACUCAAAGAAAUUGACGGGGGUCCCGCACAAGCGGUGGAGCAUGUGGUUCAAUUCGAUGCAACGCGCAGAACCUUACCUAGGUUUGACAUGUAAUGGAAGACUGGCAGAGAUGCCGUCGCCCGCAAGGGCCGUUACACAGGUGCUGCAUGGCUGUCGUCAGCUCGUGUCGUGAGAUGUUGGGUUAAAGUCCCGCAACGAGCGCAACCCCGUAUGUUUAGUUGCCAGCAUUCAGUUGGGCACUCUAGACAGACUGCCGACGUUAAGU
rnacentral:rRNA from 1 species